GAUGAACGCUGGCGGCGUGCUUAACACAUGCAAGUCGAGCGAAGCACUUCACUUUUAUUCUUCGGAUGCGAGGUGAUCUGACUGAGCGGCGGACGGGUGAGUAACGCGUGGGCAACCUGCCUCAUACAGGGGGAUAACAGUUAGAAAUGACUGCUAAUACCGCAUAAGACCGCGGUGCCGCAUGGCACAGCGGUAAAAACUCCGGUGGUAUGAGAUGGGCUCGCGUCUGAUUAGCUAGUUGGCGGGGUAACGGCCCACCAAGGCGACGAUCAGUAGCCGACCUGAGAGGGCGACCGGCCACAUUGGGACUGAGACACGGCCCAAACUCCUACGGGAGGCAGCAGUGGGGAAUAUUGCACAAUGGGGGAAACCCUGAUGCAGCGACGCCGCGUGAGCGAUGAAGUAUUUCGGUAUGUAAAGCUCUAUCAGCAGGGAAGAAGAUGACGGUAC
rnacentral:rRNA from 1 species